AACAGGAUUAGAUACCCUGGUAGUCCACGCUGUAAACGAUGUCGACUUGGAGGUUGUGCCCUUGAGGCGUGGCUUCCGGAGCUAACGCGUCAAGUCGACCGCCUGGGGAGUACGGCCGCAAGGUUAAAACUCAAAUGAAUUGACGGGGGCCCGCACAAGCGGUGGAGCAUGUGGUUUAAUUCGAUGCAACGCGAAGAACCUUACCUACUCUUGACAUCCAGAGAAUUUGCUAGAGAUAGCUUAGUGCCUUCGGGAACUCUGAGACAGGUGCUGCAUGGCUGUCGUCAGCUCGUGUUGUGAAAUGUUGGGUUAAGUCCCGCAACGAGCGCAACCCUUAUCCUUUGUUGCCAGCACGUAAUGGUGGGAACUCAAAGGAGACUGCCGGUGAUAAACCGGAGGAAGGUGGGGAUGACGUCAAGUCAUCAUGGCCCUUACGAGUAGGGCUACACACGUGCUACAAUGGCAUAUACAAAGAGAAGCGAACUCGCGAGAGCAAGCGGACCUCAUAAAGUAUGUCGUAGUCCGGAUUGGAGUCUGCAACUCGACUCCAUGAAGUCGGAAUCGCUAGUAAUCGUAGAUCAGAAUGCUACGGUGAAUACGUUCCCGGGCCUUGUACACGCCGCCCGUCACACCAUGGGAGUGGGUUGCAAAAGAAGUAGGUAGCUUAACCUUCGGGAGGGCGCUUACCACUUUGUGAUUCAUGACUGGGGUGAAGUCGUAACAAGGUAACC
rnacentral:rRNA from 1 species